UUCUUCCCUCCAAACCAAACACCCGCAUUCUUUCCUCCCAAGAAAGCGGGUUCAGCCUUUCUCCAUUCGUCAACCGCAUUUCUUCAACUUCAAGUUUUGUGUCUCAUUGGAUGAUUGAUCCAAGGGAGAAGGUGCAUGGCAUGGGAGGGAGGGGAAGAGAGUUCUUCGUGGUGUUUAUGAAUUGAAAAAAAAAUUAGAGGAUAUCACCGAUCUUUUCUCACCGUGUUCUUCAUUUGUUAAAAUCAUCGGUCAAUUUCGUUUUAUUUUCAAAAUUGUUUCGGUUUGAAUGCAUGCAUCUUAAUUUAUGGAUUUGGAAUCUUCUGGCGAUUCGGUGAAAUGUUGCAAGCACUGUGAAUGCGGGUGUAGUGAUUGCUCCAUGGCAGCUCAAUCUUCAGGGAAUUGGCUCCGGUCUGUGAAAAGGAAGCACAAGCAGUUGGAACAGGGCGGCCAAUUCUCUGCGCCAGGGCCGGAUUGCGAUCCGGUGGCGCAUGUCGAGAUUGGGAAUGAAUGUGAUGCAUUACGUGAGGCUGUUAGCAGCCAACAGAAAUCAAUAAAGGAUUUGUAUGAAGAAUUGGAGGAGGAGAGGAAUGCGGCCUCCUCGGCCGCGAAUGAGACCAUGACAAUGAUAUUGAGGUUGCAGAGGGAAAAGGCAGAGCUUCAGCUGGAAGCGCGGCAGUUCAAGAGAUUUGUGGAAGAGAGGACAUCUCACGAUCAGCAGGAGCUUCUUGCAUUGGAUGAAUUGUUGUAUAAGAGAGAACAGGCAAUUCACUCACUCACGUGUGAGGUGCAGGCUUAUAAGCACAGGUUGAUGAGUUUUGGCAUCACUGAAUCGGAGGCAGAAGGUGAUCAGUAUAAAUUUCCCCCUUAUGAGUACCCUCCUUUGAGAUGUAAUGCAAUGCAUGCUUCAAGUGAUGAUAAUGAUGAGAUAGACAUUGACAAAUAUGCGUUUGGCGAAACACCUAAGGACCGUUUGAGGAACCUGGAAAGUAGGAUAUCUCAAAUGGAGAGAAGUCCCACUUAUAGUCAGAUGGAUGGGGAAUUCAGUGGAAAAAAUAUUCUAGAGAAGGUGAUAGUUGGACAGUCUCCAAGAUGGGCUAAACAUUCCAGGAAAUUUUCCUGUGACUCAUCUUCAUUGUGCCCUGAGUAUAUGAUUGAUUCUCCUAGCUUUAGGAAGAUAGAUGAGGACCUUUCCAAUUUGAAGAAGGUAGACAAUGCAUCAGAAGCUGGUGAUGAUAUGAUUGAUAAAGUCUAUACAAUUGACUCCGAGUUCAAAGCUGGAGCUAGUGUUUACGAUGAUUAUGCAACCACUCCAAGGGAUUUUGUUAAUCAUGCAGAUUUUGAAGAUCCAUAUGUGAAGAAGCUUUGCAUGAGGCUUCAAGAACUUGAGGCUGAUAGGGAAUCAAUGAGGCAGGCAAUCAUUUCAAUGCGCACUGAUAAAGCACAGCUUAUUUUGUUGAAGGAAAUAGCUCAAGAAUUGUGCAAAGAGAUGUCACAGCAGAAAAAAAUGACAGCGAGAUCCUUUAUUAGCAGCUUUUCAUUCUUGACAGUUUUUAAGUGGAUUGCAUCAAUUGUUUUCUGGAGAAAGAAAGCUCAUCAAAUCAAGUAAGCAGUUAGUAGCUUUAGUCUUUAUUUAAAAAUUUGUGUACCACAUCUGGUGGGAUGUUGCCUGGUUGUUGAGUUGUUGAAAUGUGCAGUCUCAAAAAGUGUGCAAAAUCAGGCAUAAUUCUCACAACCACCUUAGCCAGAAAUCAUUUAAAGAAAACAAUAGUUUUGAAUUCAAGUAGUCUCAUAAAGCAUGCUUGCAAAAGAAUGUUGUAAUAUUGAUCCAGUCAUUCUAUAUUUCUGAAGAUGUUGUAAAACUGAUCUAAUGGUUAAAUUAAAAACAUGAAAUGAAGACAAAACGAAUGUAGUUUAGGUGCUCUCUUUAGUAAAACACAAUGCCGUUUAAGGUUUACGGUUUACGCAUCAAGUAAAGCUUAUUAGAAGUUUUUUUUUUAGAACUCCCGUAUCAUUUUCCUGGGGAAAACAACACUUCUCCAUUUUUACAUUGCUGGUGCCCUGUUCCAUAGCUGGAAUUGCAUCUCAGAAACAAUUUGUUUGUCUCAUUGGAAGGGGAGUAGAAACUUUUCAACAAGAGCAAUAGAAAAAUGAGAUUAAGCUUGCCAAUAAUGUGUCACGCUAAACGAGUCAAUUGUUGGAGCCUGGAAGGUUUCACAGUUGAUACAGAAACACCACUUCAAGUUACCAAAGGCACAAAACACAACAUAGGUAGCUCCGCACAAGCUUCUUAAAUUUGUAGACUCAUGUUCGAGAUGUUACCGUAGUGUGCGUUGAUUCUCCUAUUUUGUCGUUUUUCAAUGUGCUAGAGGCCUAGAGCAAAAUCCCCAAUAUAGUUCAUUCGCCUUUCUUCUCUUUUCCUUCAAACAUCAUUCGACGCUCUCUUUCUCUCUCUCUGGUGAAGUGUUCCUGGGUUGAAGGUUGCAAGGGUUUGGCGGUGGCAGUGCACGUCUCAACCUCUCACUCUCAGUAUGCAAAGUGGUCUCAACUUGCAGGUCGUUGGUGGAGAGGGCGACACUGCAAAGGGAAGAGGGCGACACCAAAACGCAGUGGUCUUACCCUUGGAACCUGUUGCAACUCAAAACGCGAUGCGGAGCCUGUUUCAACUGUUUUUUUUUAAUAACUUGAAUAGAUUAAGUGAAAUUAAAUCUGAACUGGGGAAAAAAUUUAAUCCACAUGUCAUGUGUAGAUUAAGUAGACUGGAGAUCUUCAUUUCCUCCCCGCAAUGGAGAGGAUCCGAACACAAAUUUGGCUGUCAGGGCUUUGAUGUUCAAUGUGUUAAAUUAAAUAUACUUGUAAUAUAUUGUAUUAACAUAAAUAUUACUUUCUGGUUUACAAGACCAACAUAGAUUGUAAAAAUCUUUGAAUGAUUAUAAAUUAAUUUGUCAUUAGUUGUACAUUGAUACAGCCCUCUCAAAGCAGAAUUAUUAUUAAAACAAAUUCAAUGUGUUGUGUCUAUUAAUGAUGAUAAUAUUUCUUAUAUGAGUUUAGAGGGUACAUAUUUCUUAACCCGGGUGGAAAGCUGUUAGGGGAUCCUUGAAUGAUUGUUUGACCAUAAAUUAUUCAUCAUCUAAUUGUUUUUGA